UACGUAGGGGGCUAGCGUUGUCCGGAUUUAUUGGGCGUAAAGAGCGCGUAGGCGGCUCGGUAAGCCGGAUGUGAAACCUCCAAGCUCAACUUGGAGCGGCCAUUCGGAACUGCUGUGGCUAGAGUCUGGUAGGGGAACACGGAAUUCCUGGUGUAGCGGUGAAAUGCUUAGAUAUCAGGAGGAACACCAGUGGCGAAGGCGGUGUCUUGGGCCAGUACUGACGCUGAGGCGCGAAAGCGUGGGGAGCGAACAGG
rnacentral:rRNA from 1 species